AUUGAACGCUGGCGGCAGGCCUAACACAUGCAAGUCGAGCGGAUGGAGGGAGCUUGCUCCUGGAUUCAGCGGCGGACGGGUGAGUAAUGCCUAGGAAUCUGCCUGGUAGUGGGGGAUAACGUCCGGAAACGGGCGCUAAUACCGCAUACGUCCUGAGGGAGAAAGUGGGGGAUCUUCGGACCUCACGCUGUCAGAUGAGCCUAGGUCGGAUUAGCUAGUUGGUGGGGUAAAGGCCUACCAAGGCGACGAUCCGUAACUGGUCUGAGAGGAUGAUCAGUCACACUGGAACUGAGACACGGUCCAGACUCCUACGGGAGGCAGCAGUGGGGAAUAUUGGACAAUGGGCGAAAGCCUGAUCCAGCCAUGCCGCGUGUGUGAAGAAGGUCUUCGGAUUGUAAAGCACUUUAAGUUGGGAGGAAGGGCAGUAAGUUAAUACCUUGCUGUUUUGACGUUACCAACAGAAUAAGCACCGGCUAACUUCGUG
rnacentral:rRNA from 1 species